UUUGAAAUCUGGCCCCCAGGGCCCGAGUUGUAAUUUGCAGAGGAUGCUUUUGGCGCGGUGCCUUCCGAGUUCCCUGGAACGGGACGCCAUAAAGGGUGAGAGCCCCGUCUGGUCGGACACCAAGCCAGUGUAAAGCUCCUUCGACGAGUCGAGUAGUUUGGGAAUGCUGCUCUAAAUGGGAGGUAUAUGUCUUCUAAAGCUAAAUACCGGCCAGAGACCGAUAGCGCACAAGUAGAGUGAUCGAAAGAUGAAAAGCACUUUGAAAAGAGGGUUAAAAAGUACGUGAAAUUGUUGAAAGGGAAGCGUUUAUGACCAGACUUGGGCCCGGUGAAUCAUCCAGCGUUCUCGCUGGUGCACUUUGCCGGGCUCAGGCCAGCAUCAGUUCGCCGCGGGGGACAAAAGCUUCGGGAACGUGGCUCCCUCGGGAGUGUUAUAGCCCGUUGCACAAUACCCUGUGGUGGACUGAGGUUCGCGCUCCNCAAGGAUGCUGGCGUAAUGGUCAUCAGCGACCCGUCUUGAAACACGGACCAAGGANUCGUCUUCNUAUGCGAGUGUUCGGGUGUAAAACCCCUAC
rnacentral:rRNA from 1 species